rnacentral:rRNA from 1 species
ACAAGCAGUCGGAGCCCGCGAGGGGUGACGGCGUGCCUUUUGCAUAAUGAGUCGGCGAGUUACGUUUUGCAGCGAGGUUAAGCCGUAAGGUGUAGCCGAAGCGAAAGCGAGUCUGAAUAGGGCGUUAAGUUGCAGGACGUAGACCCGAAGCCAGGUGAUCUAUCCAUGGUCAGGUUGAAGCGUGGGUAAAGCCACGUGGAGGACCGAACUCACUAAUGUUGAAAAAUUAGGGGAUGAACUGUGGAUGGGGGUGAAAGGCCAAUCAAACCUGGAGAUAGCUGGUUCUCCCCGAAAUAUAUUGAGGUAUAGCCUCGUGUGAUUCGCGCUGGAGGUAGAGCACUGAAUGGGCUAGGGGUCCCACAGGAUUACCAAACCCAACUAAACUCCGAAUGCCAGCGACGUCAGCACGGGAGUCAGACUGCGGGAGAUAAGUUCCGUGGUCGAGAGGGAAAGAGCCCAGACUGCCAGCUAAGGCCCCAAGUGUAUGCUAAGUGGAAAAGGAUGUGGGGACACAUAG